rnacentral:misc_RNA from 1 species
CUUUGUGAGUUGGAGGUGGUCAAGGAGCGCGACCAAGUCGCCGACGAGGUGGAGGAUGGAGUAGGCGGCGGGGUCGGUGGGCACAGACGAGUCGCCGUAGCCACGGAGGUCGGGAGCCAGCGCGCGGAAGCCGCGGGCGGCGAGCGCGGCCAUCUGGUGGCGCCACGAGAGCCAGAGCUCCGGGAAGCCGUGGAUGAGGAGGACCGCCGGCGCGUCGGCGGCGCCGCGCUCGGCGACGUGGAGGGAAAUGCCGUUGACGUCCGCGGUCCAGUGCCGCACCUGGCCCUCGGCGGCGGCGGCUUCGGCAUCCAUGCUUUUCGCUGCUCUGCUCGCUUGACGCGCUACCUGCUGCUCAAUGGCUGUUCUCACUUCCAGAAAUACAAAUCAUCUCAACCAUAAAUACUAAUCAUCUCAACCACCUGGCUCGUUCUGGAUCACAUGUUCCAUAGUGCACGCGUCGAUUGCACCUUCUGCCUACAAGACUGCAAGGCUGCAAUGACUAGCAGAAGCAACACAAGCACGCAA